rnacentral:rRNA from 1 species
CCUACGGGAGGCAGCAGUGAGGAAUAUUGGUCAAUGGCCGGAAGGCUGAACCAGCCAAGCCGCGUGAAGGACGAAGGUGCCAAGCAUUGUAAACUUCUUUUGUCAAGGGACAAAAUCAGGCUCGAGAGCCUGACCGAGGGUCCUUGAAGAAAAAGCAUCGGCUAACCCCGUGCCAGCAGCCGCGGUAAUACGGAGGAUGCGAGCGUUAUCCGGAUUUAUGGGGUUAAAGGGGUGCGUAGGCGGGCUGUUAAGUCAGCGGUAAAAGCCCGGGGCUCAACCCCGGCGAGCCGUUGAAACUGGGUGUCUUGAGAUGUCGAGAGGUAUGCGGAAUGCGCAGUGUAGCGGUGAAAUGCUUAGAUAUUGCGCAGAACUCCGAUUGCGAAGGCAGCAUACCGGCGGCGAUCUGACGCUGAGGCACGAAAGCGUGGGUAUCGAACAGGAUUAGAUACCCCGGUAGUC